CCUACGGGCUGCAGCAGUGGGGAAUCUUGCACAAUGGAGGAAACUCUGAUGCAGCGAUGCCGCGUGAGUGAAGAAGGCCUUUGGGUUGUAAAGCUCUUUUGUAGGGGAAGAUAUUGACUGUACCCUAAGAAUAAGGUCCGGCUAACUUCAUGCCAGCAGCCGCGGUAAUACGACGGGACCUAGCGUAGUUCGGAAUUACUGGGCGUAAAGCGCGCGUAGGCCGUUGAGUUAGUUAAUUGUGAAAUCCCAAAGUUUAACUUUGGAACUGCAAUUAAAACUGCUCGACUAGAGUUUGAUAGAGGAAAGCGGAAUACAUAGUGUAGAGGUGAAAUUCGUAGAUAUUAUGUAGGACACCAGUUGCGAAGGCGGCUUUCUGGAUCAACACUGACGCUGAGGCGCGAAAGUAUGGGUAGCAAAGAGGAUUAGAUACCCCAGUAGUC
rnacentral:rRNA from 1 species